UUGACGGGCAGUACUGGUCGAGAUUAGUUCGUAGAAAAUGAGACUUGUCCACAUCCAGUGAAUGCUUGUUCACCGAUGGUGGUAGGUAGUGAAGUACAAAUACUUCAUAGUCAGCAACAUUUUCAUGAAAAUUAGAACAGUACUGCAGUUUUUGUUGUGUCAGCACCAUCAGUCCGAGGGAGCCCGAAUGCGAGUCUGCCGUAAAAUAUCAUUUUGUUUGCCUACAGUUGUUCUCCGAGUGCGCCGCAUUUCUCAGGCAAACAAAGUUUGAUCAAUUUACCACGAGCGAUAUUAGCCUGUCAUCACUUGGCAACGUAUUUUGUCAAAAGAUUAAAAAAAAAAAAAAAAAAAAAUCCAUGAAACGAGAACCCCACCCCCCUCCUUUAUCCCCAGAUUCAUUCCUCUUCUGUUUCAUUUCUUCUUCUGUACUUCUAUUUUCUGUCUGGCGCUCCAUCUCCGUGGAGUAGAUUGCGAUUUGAGGCCUCGGCUGAAAAGAAGCAGGUGGAGAGGCAAGCGUAUUAACGGGACCAAAAUAACAAAGCGGCAUGAAGGCAGGUGUUGUGCGUGACAAAGUGAUAAGUGAGUCGGUAUGCGUGCAAGCAAAGGUAAAUCGCAAAAUAUCGACAAUGUCGCAUUGGAAGCGGCGGAGCCUGCGUGUUGACGCAGCAGGAGGCCAAGCGGAGGGGAAAUCGUGUUAGGGAGUAUCGCGCUGUCACAAAUCAUAUCGCCAACUCCUGCCUGCGACUGAUGUGCCAACCUUCUGCUCCCGCCAACGACACAACCCUCUUUCCUUUUUCCGAGACAUUUCUGGUGAUGGCGACGAGGGACGGACGAGGUCGUAUCUGGCACUGGAAGUGGCAAAACGGGGGAUUAGCCGAGCGGCAGAGGGAUUUAGAGGCCUACCCGCAUCGCAGGAGCAGGUGGUCAGCAGUCACAAGAACAAGACGGGAAUAAACAGAAGCAAGAGUGCAGGCAUUUGCUGCUCAGUGGCCUGCGUCACUGACCCUAAGGUGGUCGGGUGGGCUUUUGAAAACGGGGCCUCAAAGUGAUCCUUGACUGCGGCACCGCCGCAUGUAGCGUAUCAGUCAACAUCGUCAGUACUGGCGCUGAAGGAGGAUACUGCGGUCUCGUCCUCCCUUCCCAUCUGCCCCGGCACUGCCACCACAUCCCCCCCAAGCUUGCGGCCCUGACAGGCCGGGUUGCCACGGUGAUGGAUGACCGUGCGCGCGGUUCUGGUGUCACAAUCCUACACCUUUUCUGCCUGCCACGUGGGUCCACCGGCCCAGACUUCCUUUCGGCUCACAAGUGGGACGAAAACUCAGAGAAGAAUCGCAAAAUUCUCCCCAAAUUCGACCAAGCAAACUUUCAUUCUUCUUUUUCCUUCCACUUUCAUUCUUUUAUGUUUUGGCACCCUUGCAUUGGUAUCAAAAAAAUGAGCUGUGUUUCCAAAUGGGUAGGUUGAUGGUUUAAAGACCUUGAAAAGAGACAAGAAGAAACAUCUUGUAAAAACACGGCAUCGAGAAGAUUUUUGUUAACAAGCCUGUCAAAUUUAAGUGAUUCAAAAAAAAAAAAUGGAAGCUGCCUUCCAGUUUUAGAAUAUGACUAUGACUGUAAUCAGCCAAUUAGUCCGUUCUUUAUUGGAAAGCAACAUCUUCCGCUACCAGGGACUCGUUAGCGUCUUCUAAUGAGCCUUUAGCUUGCCACCAGAAGCCCCGUCAAGCAUUAUUAAUUAAGAGGCCGUUUUUGUGCAGGCCUCCUAAUCUGAACACAUUGACAUGUAUCUGUAAAACGUAUGAAGCACCCCGCUGCUAAUUCAGCCGCACGUUCAAUAUGGCUAAGACACGUUUGUUGUUGUUUUCCACGAGAUCUAUCUGCAAUAUGUAAUAAUAAGUCACGCUGCGGCGGCGCGCUGUAAAUGUGUUUGGGCUGCUUUUAAAAAUCACAUCUUCCUAACUGGAUUUAUCACACUAUUAACGUGUCGGUGGGAACAAGGCACAUUGAAUCGCUUAUUUUAUAUGAGGAAAGCAGAGGGAGCAUAUUUAGCACUCGAUCAGUACGCCGUAGAAAUCCAUGUUGGCGCAUCAGCGAAUGAGUGGGGAAAAAAACCCACAAUGUGACAGGUCGCUUUAAUUGGUGCACAAAUUCCCUCAGCGCUUACAUGAACAAAGUGAUGGUGGUGGGGUGAAAGGCACAAGCUGUCAAAUUAAAAAGAAAAUAAUAAUAAUGUUAAACACAAAUAGGGGACAAGUGAUCCCGCAUAUCAGCCCACAGAUCAACACAGAUGUAAAUAUUUGCCUGAGGUGUCACCUCAUGGAACAAAGAUCAUUUAAACUUGCAGUAGAAUGCACUGAACGGAUAAAAUAAUUGGAAAACUUACUUUUGAAUUGUUCAUAAACUAACACGAUAUAUGUGUGAAUGUCAAUAUGGGUCACCAUGUGGAGCUUUGAAUUUUUCCUUCAUGAUUUGCUGAAAAACUCACAUAUACAGUUUUAUAAUCAGGCCAAAUCCAUGUCCAAUGUAUAUUGCUUCGCUCUCUUAGAACUUUUAGGCCAAGAAAUUAGAUUUAUAAUGUCAGGCCAUAGCUUUGUCUAAUCAAAAAAAAAGUACUUUGCCACCAUCUUGUGGUAUCUCUUGGUAAUCGCAUGGGCAUCAAGUCCACUGUAGUUUCGUCCCUGGAGUUCCAACUAUCAAGUGUUCAACCAAUCAGAUCAUUGAUUAUCUGCAGGGGUGUACGUAAGCGGUGUGUAGUUGCGUCAAAAGAACGCGUCUCUGUCGAUCGAUUAGCCAGUCCCACGUUGAUCGCGUUAACUCCUAGUCUGUUUUUGAAUCAAUUUAUGACCCCUCCAUGCAUUUUAUCUCUUGAAAACUUUUCUAUUCGACUGACACCUCAGCCAUGUUACAAAGCAGUGUAAACAAUUUUAAUUAGUGAAUAACGGGAUGGAGCGGUUUAAUCUUAUAGAGAAACUUCCAGAUGUUCCCCGCGGCAGAUUGGCGUCAAGUAUUCCGACUGUAUGGAAAUUCCGCCUAACAGCAGUCAAGACCUCGGCUUAUCUCCGAUGCACAACUGUGUAAGGCACCUGGGACUCUUUCACAACCACCCGUCUCCCUCCUCCCUUCUUGCGCUCUCACAGCACAAGCGUGACUGAUUCCGUCUCAUCGUUGGCGCAGUGAGAAUGCCGUCGACACUUCGGCGACAGCAAGGGAAGACAAACUAGGAGCAACAAUGGCAGACGACAAACGGUGGUGGUACAGUGGUUCUGACAUUGUUUGCAAUGACGGCAGUGAACGUAGGAGUCAAAUUCACAACAGGAUGUGUUGACUGCUUGGAGUCAGAGGAGACACUGGGACUGGAGGCUAAGCUGCUUUUCAUCGUGAAAUGACACCCAGUCGGGUGCAGACUUCCACCUGGGAAGCCCUAAGUUGGAUCAUUACUAACCCGCCUCUUGCACAGCAGUAUUCAUUAAAGAUGCAUGCAUUAUGCCCUGCAAAAUUAAGGACACUGAUGUCGUCUACUUUCUAAUAAAUUUCUACAAGAACUAGGGAGAAUGAAGAAAAUGAUAAGCUGUACAAGAAUACAGUAACAAAUGUUAUAAGAGCACAAAAAAUGAGCUAUUACAGUAAAUCAACAGAGAAGUUUAAAUAUGUAAAGGACCUGGAAGAUGAUGAAUCAUAUAAGCCAGAACAUAUGUCAUUCAAUGGAAUAUCCGACUUAUUUUAUAAAUAGCGGUGAUAUUAAAAUAAACAAGUUAGAUGAAAUUGCUGAUGAAUGUUGUGGAUGUUGGCAUAUCGUUGGCGAGGGGAAUUAUUGAUUACGGUAAUAAAAAAGAGAAGUUCAAGAACUUUAUUAGGAUAACAGGCUAUCAGAGUUGGCUUGUUCAUGUGUAACCAGAAUGUUUCCUUGGCUCACAGAAAAACAAUUUAAGGACAGUAAACUGACAAGCGGGCAGUCAGAAAGAUGGAGAUGAACUUUUGGACAAAAGACAUCAAGAAACAAUCACAAGCACCACAAUGGGAAUGUAUGAACGACACAAAAGAAAGGCUGACAAGCCAAGUGUGCCAGCCUGAUAUUAUUGGCAUUGUGUACUGCGGUACGAUGAUGACAGCCACUGUUUGAGCCCUACAAGCUCUCGCACCCCCACCUAUGUCUGCACAAUAGCCAUCUGAUGACUGAGUGAUUGGAGGAGGAAUGAAGUGAAAUGCAAAAGAAUAACAAAAAAAAAAAAAGAAAAACAUCUGGUGAUGGAGGAGAAAAGGGCGAUGAGGAGGCGUGAAGAACACAGCCUUGAUGCAGCUGCAAUUAAGGCGGCCAUUUUGUUCCUUGAAUAUGGUAAUUUGCCCCUUUUGUGUGAGGGCUUGAUUGGCCUUUGCAGUGCGCAUCACGCCGGCCUGGAAGUUUCCGUCAUUGCAGUGAGAU